rnacentral:rRNA from 1 species
GACGAACGCUGGCGGCGUGCUUAACACAUGCAAGUCGAACGGAAAGGCCCUGCUUUUGUGGGGUGCUCGAGUGGCGAACGGGUGAGUAACACGUGAGUAACCUGCCCUUGACUUUGGGAUAACUUCAGGAAACUGGGGCUAAUACCGGAUAGGAGCUCCUGCUGCAUGGUGGGGGUUGGAAAGUUUCGGCGGUUGGGGAUGGACUCGCGGCUUAUCAGCUUGUUGGUGGGGUAGUGGCUUACCAAGGCUUUGACGGGUAGCCGGCCUGAGAGGGUGACCGGCCACAUUGGGACUGAGGUACGGCCCAGACUCCGACGGGAGGCAGCAGUGGGGAAUAUUGCACAAUGGGCGGAAGCCUGAUGCAGAAACGCCGCGUGCGGGAUGACGGCCUUCGGGUUGUAAACCGCUUUCGCCUGUGACGAAGCGUGAGUGACGGUAAUGGGUAAAGAAGCACCGGCUAACUACGUG